GCUGGGUGUGGCAGCGGGCACCUGUAAUCCCAGCUACUUGGGAGGCUGAGGCAGGAGAAUCGCUCGAACCCAGGAGUUGGAGGUUGCAGUGAGCCGAGAUCACACCACUGCACUCCAGCCUGGGCAACAGAGGGAGACUCUGUCUCAA
ensembl:misc_RNA Metazoa_SRP Metazoan signal recognition particle RNA